AUUGAACGCUGGCGGCAUGCCUUACACAUGCAAGUCGAACGGCAGCAUGAUCUAGCUUGCUAGAUUGAUGGCGAGUGGCGAACGGGUGAGUAAUACAUCGGAACGUGCCCUGUAGUGGGGGAUAACUAGUCGAAAGAUUAGCUAAUACCGCAUACGACCUGAGGGUGAAAGUGGGGGACCGCAAGGCCUCAUGCUAUAGGAGCGGCCGAUGUCUGAUUAGCUAGUUGGUGAGGUAAAGGCUCACCAAGGCGACGAUCAGUAGCUGGUCUGAGAGGACGAUCAGCCACACGGGGACUGAGACACGGCCCAGACUCCUACGGGAGGCAGCAGUGGGGAAUUGUGGACAAUGCGGGCAACCCUGAUCCAGCAAUGCCGCGUGUGUGAAGAAGGCCUUCGGGUUGUAAAGCACUUUUGUCCGGAAAGAAAUCGCACUUACUAAUAUUAGGUGUGGAUGACGGUACCGGAAGAAUAAGGACCGGCUAACUACGUGCCAGCCGCCGCCGUAAUAC
rnacentral:rRNA from 1 species